UACGGGGGGGGCAAGCGUUGUUCGGAAUUACUGGGCGUAAAGGGCUCGUAGGCGGCCAACUAAGUCGGAUGUGAAAUCCCCAGGCUUAACCUGGGAAUUGCAUCCGAUACUGGAUGGCUUGAAUCCGGGAGAGGGAUGCGGAAUUCCAGGUGUAGCGGUGAAAUGCGUAGAGAUCCGGAAGAACACCGGUGGCGAAGGCGGCCUGCUGGGCAGUGGCUGACGCUGAGGCGCGACAGCGUGGGGAGCAAACAGG
rnacentral:rRNA from 1 species